rnacentral:rRNA from 1 species
UACGGAGGGUGCAAGCGUUAUCCGGAUUCACUGGGUUUAAAGGGUGCGUAGGAGGGUAGGUAAGUCAGUGGUGAAAUCUUCGAGCUUAACUCGGAAACUGCCGUUGAUACUAUCUAUCUUGAAUACCGUGGAGGUGAGCGGAAUAUGUCAUGUAGCGGUGAAAUGCUUAGAUAUGACAUAGAACACCAAUUGCGAGGGCAGCUCGCUACACGAAUAUUGACUCUGAGGCACGAAAGCGUGGGGAUCAAACAGG